CACGGGGGGAGCAAGCGUUGUUCGGAAUCACUGGGCGUAAAGGGCGUGUAGGCGGUCAUGUAAGUGGGAUGUGAAAGCCCUCGGCUCACCCGAGGAUCUGCAUCUCAAACUGCAUGGCUUGAGUAUGGGAGAGGAUGAGGGAAUUCCUGGUGUAGCGGUGAAAUGCGUAGAUAUCAGGAGGAACACCGGUGGCGAAGGCGCUCAUCUGGCCCAAUACUGACGCUGAGGCGCGAAAGCGAGGGGAGCAAACGGG
rnacentral:rRNA from 1 species